rnacentral:tRNA from 1 species
GCCCACAUAGCUUAGCCACCAAAGCAUGGCACUGAAGAUGCCAAGACGGUACCCACGUUACCUGAGGGC